GCAAACAGGUCAAGCUGUGCACUCUAGACAGACUGCCGUGGACAACACGGAGGAAGUGGGGGAUGACGUCAAAUCAUCAUGCCCCUUAUGAUCUGGGCUACACACGUGCUACAAUGGCCGGUACAACGGGCAGCGAAGGAGCGAUCCGGAGCGAAUCCUAAAAAGCCGGUCCCAGUUCGGAUUGCAGGCUGAAACUCGCCUACAUGAAGUUGGAGUUGCUAGUAAUCGCGAAUCAGAAUGUCGCGGUGAAUGCGUUCCCGGGUCUU
rnacentral:rRNA from 1 species